GGGACUUACUUCUGUGUUGCACUUGGCGGUGCUACAGGAAAAUGUAGACUGAAAACAAGCUGGUUGUCAGCGUUAUGUGACAGACGGAGGACAGCUUAGGUUUUGCGGACUACCUCAGGCUUUGUUUUUCUUUGUGAUGGAAAACGAGAGUGAUGUGUUUUAUCGGGAGCUGCCAAAAGUGGAGCUCCACGCUCACCUCAACGGCUCUGUCAGCUUCCAAACCAUCGAGAAACUCAUCAGCCGAAAACCACAUCUCAACAUUGAACACAGCAUGACGGCUAUCGGCAAAGGUCAGCGGAGGACACUGGAUGAGUGUUUUGAGGUCUUCAAGGUCAUCCAUCAGCUGGUGGACACGGAGGAGGAUAUCCUGAUGGUGGCUACAGACGUUAUCAGGGAGUUUGCGAAUGAUGGUGUCAAAUAUUUAGAGCUGAGAAGUACCCCAAGAGAGGAGAAACACACAGGAUUGACAAAAAAGAGUUAUAUUGAGACAGUCAUCAAAGCUAUCCAACAAUGUAAAAACGACGGCGUGGACAUCGAUGUCAGGUUUCUGGUGGCGAUUGACCGCAGGAAUGGGACUGAAGUUGCCAUGGAGACAGUGAAGCUGGCUGAGGAGUUCAUGCUGUCUUCUGAUGGUUUGGUGGUGGGGCUUGACCUCAGUGGAGAUCCAACGGUUGGCCAUGGCAAAGACCUACUUCCUGCUCUACAGAGGGCCAAGAACUGUGGACUGAAGUUGUCGCUGCACCUCUCAGAAGUACCAUCACAGCUGGAAGAGUCAGACUUGCUGUUGAAUCUUCCUCCAGACAGGAUUGGUCACGGCACCUUCUUGCAUCCUGAAGUGGGCGGCUCUCAAAGUCUUGUUGACAAAGUAGUAAAGAACAACAUACCACUGGAGCUAUGUCUGACAUCAAAUGUCAAAGGACAAACUGUACCGUGUUACUCCAAACAUCAUUUCAAAUACUGGUACGAGUUGGGACAUCCAAGUGUGAUUUGUACUGAUGAUAAAGGAGUCUUCUGUACAGACUUGUCUCAGGAAUAUCAGCUGGCAGCAUCCACGUUUGGACUCAGUCGUGAGGCUGUAUGGAAGCUCUCCCUGCAGGCCAUAGACUGUAUCUUUGCACCAGACACAGUGAAACAGCAGCUGAAACAGAAGUGGACUGAUAUACAGCCUCAGCAAAGAUACGGCCGAGGACUUAACCAUUGUGGAAACUUACACACUGUGCUGCGGACAGAGAGACAUCACCGAGCUGCUUGAGGAAAAAGAUGCGUGCCACUGUUGGGAUCAGGUCCAUGAUCAGGUGGUAGUCCACCAUGCUCCUCGAAUACAACUCCAGACGUUUGAGGUCGUAGGGGCUGAAAUGGCCUGCCAACUCGGAGCUGCUGAGAGCUGUGAAGGUCAAAGACAUGUCAGUUCAGGAUGUUAAGUGCCAGGCUUGGAUGGAAGCUGCUGAACUGGUAGGAGAGGAGAGACAGGAAGCGCCGGCGGAAAUCUGAGGAAAACAAAUAAAAUAAAAUUUAA